GCGUACGACAGUGGAAGAAUCUGACUAAACGCACGAGCGGGGGCGCGGGGGCGGGAGAGACCAGAAAGUGAGGCGUUCACAUCCAGAAACCGCUAAACGAGUGUCGAGGAAGCAUCCAGGCCACUGCGACAGGCCACUGCGACAGCUCUGUGGAUUUGCAUUGUGCUCUUCAGUUCUCCUCUCCGACCAAUCCAUCAGUCAAUCACCUUUCCUCAGCAUUUACAAGAUCAAACCAGCUCUUAGCAUGGCUGCCACAUAUACUUCCGGGUCAUUUCACUCAGCCUCAUGUCUGUUGCCUGUAUUCUGCUUAUCUGAACAUGUGGAACCAGCCAGUGUUUGACCUUUGGCUCUUUAUGGAUUUGUUUGCCUGUGUUGGACUGCUGCCCUCUGGAUUUGACCCUCGCCUGCUUCACAAGCUUGUGUACCUCCAGCUUUUGAACAUUAAACCACCGAACUGCACUGUCUGUCUCCGUCGUCCACCUUGCUGCUAGCUUGUGCUCACCGCCUGAGACACAAUGCACAUUUUCUCUGUUCUUUAUGAAUGCAAACAAAUAAUAAUUUGCCUUAAUCAUGUAGCGUUUUUUUUUUGUUUGU